GACAUGGGGACUAGAUCCUUCUYAACGGAAGGGCGCAGUUAGGCUGGGUCCCACACASRUGCUGCAYGGCUGUCGUCAGCUCGUGUCGUGAGAUGUUGGGUUAAGUCCCGCAACGAGCGUAACCCUCAUUCUUAGUUGCCAGCGGGUAAUGCCGGGCACUUUAAGAAAACUGCCGGUGGUAAACYGGAGGAAGGUGGGGAUGAUGUCAAGUCAGCACGGCCCUUAUGGGGUGGGCUACACACGUGCUACAAUGGUAGCUACAAUGGGUUGCAAUGUCGCAAGGCGGAGCUAAUCCUCAAAAGCUAUCUCAGUUCGGAUUGUCCUCUGCAACUCGAGGGCAUGAAGUCGGAAUCGCUAGUAAUCGUGGAUCAGCAUGC
rnacentral:rRNA from 1 species